UACGGAGGGUGCAAGCGUUAUCCGGAUUCACUGGGUUUAAAGGGUGCGUAGGCGGGUAAGUAAGUCCGUGGUGAAAUCUCUGAGCUUAACUCAGAAACUGCCGUGGAUACUAUUUGCCUUGAAUAUUGUGGAGGUGAGCGGAAUAUGUCAUGUAGCGGUGAAAUGCUUAGAUAUGACAUAGAACACCAAUUGCGAAGGCAGCUGGCUACACAAAUAUUGACACUGAGGCACGAAAGCGUGGGGAUCAAACAGG
rnacentral:rRNA from 1 species